UAUCCCAUCGAUCGAUAUGUGUUAAUGGCUUACGGCACCAAUUAUUCACAGGGUCACUGUGGAUCUAUAUAUUGUGGCAGAUUAACCAUUCAUUAUUUCUAGUUGCAACCUAGGCCAUUGGAUUGUUAUUGGAAUCAGCAAUUAAUCAUGUUUUUUAAAGUUGGGUACCUUCUCUUGGUUUGUGUGUACUGUGUGUCUGGCCAGGCUGUGUCAGCUGAGACAGACAAUGCUUCCGUUGAAACAAACUCAGCUCCUGAUGACGAAGGCGGUAAUUCGAAAGUCAAUGAUUUUUAGGAAUCUCUAAAUAAUGUA